rnacentral:rRNA from 1 species
UACGUAGGCAGCAAGCGUUGUUCGGAGUUACUGGGCGUAAAGGGUGCGUAGGCGGCCUUAUAAGUAUGGUGUGAAAUCUCCCGGCUUAACUGGGAGGGUGCGCUAUAGACUGUGGGGCUAGAGUGUGGGAGAGGAAAGUGGAAUUCCUGGUGUAGCGGUGAAAUGCGUAGAGAUCGGGAGGAACACCUGCGGCGAAAGCGGCUCACUGGACCAUAACUGACGCUGAUGCACGAAAGCUAGGGGAGCAAACAGG